UUUAUUUUUCCGUGUCUAACGUUUGACCAUCUGUUUUAUUUAAAUUUUUUUAUGAUUAAUAUUUUUAUUAUUACUAAAUGAUAAAAUAUAAAUAAUACUUUAUACGUGACUAAUUUUUUUAAAUUUUUUUACAAAUUUUUUAAAUAAGACAAAUGGUCAAACGUUGGACACGAAAAAAC
rnacentral:pre_miRNA from 1 species